UUCGCAAAGCCUUGGUAGUAUUCUGUAGUAAAACUGUAUCUCCAGAAUGCACACCACCACCAAUAUUUACUAGUAUUUGCAGGAAUUCUGCUUCCCGUGGCGGAGAGAAGCCGGCUGCGCCGUGCGGCGGGGGAAGAGUCUGGCUCGGCGUCCGGCCGGCAGAGUCUGCGGCGAGCCCUUCACCACUG